CGCCUUGCCAGCCCGCUCAGAACUUAAAGGAAUUGACGGGGGCCCGCACAAGCGGUGGAGCAUGUGGUUUAAUUCGAAGCAACGCGAAGAACCUUACCAGGCCUUGACAUGCAGAGAACUUUCCAGAGAUGGAUUGGUGCCUUCGGGAACUCUGACACAGGUGCUGCAUGGCCGUCGUCAGCUCGUGUCGUGAGAUGUUGGGUUAAGUCCCGUAACGAGCGCAACCCUUGUCCUUAGUUACCAGCACGUUAUGGUGGGCACUCUAAGGAGACUGCCGGUGACAAACCGGAGGAAGGUGGGGAUGACGUCAAGUCCUCAUGGCCCUUAUGUCCAGGGCUACACACGUGCUACAAUGGCCGGUACAAAGGGUAGCAAGACCGCGAGGUGGAGCCAAUCCCAAAAAGCCGGUCUCAGUUCGGAUUGGAGUCUGCAACUCGACUCCAUGAAGUUGGAAUCGCUAGUAAUCGUGGAUCAGCAUGCCACGGUGAAUACGUUCCCGGGCCUU
rnacentral:rRNA from 1 species